GACGAACGCUGGCGGCGUGCCUAAUACAUGCAAGUAGAACGCUGAAGAGAGGAGCUUGCUCUUCUUGGAUGAGUUGCGAACGGGUGAGUAACGCGUAGGUAACCUGCCUUGUAGCGGGGGAUAACUAUUGGAAACGAUAGCUAAUACCGCAUAACAAUGGAUGACACAUGUCAUUUAUUUGAAAGGGGCAAUUGCUCCACUACAAGAUGGACCUGCGUUGUAUUAGCUAGUAGGUGAGGUAAUGGCUCACCUAGGCGACGAUACAUAGCCGACCUGAGAGGGGGAUCGGCCACACUGGGACUGGGACACGGCCCAGACUCCUACGGGAGGCAGCAGUAGGGAAUCUUCGGCAAUGGGGGCAACGCUGACCGAGCAACGCCGCGUGAGGGAAGAAGGUUUUCGGAUCGGAAAGCUCUGUUGUAAGUCAAGAACGGGUGUGAGAGUGGAAAGUUCACACUGUGACGGUAGCUUACCAGAAAGGGACGGCUAACUACGUG
rnacentral:rRNA from 1 species